rnacentral:rRNA from 1 species
AGUGAACGCUGGCGGUAGGCCUAACACAUGCAAGUCGAACGGCAGCACAGUAAGAGCUUGCUCUUACGGGUGGCGAGUGGCGGACGGGUGAGGAAUACAUCGGAAUCUACUUUUUCGUGGGGGAUAACGUAGGGAAACUUACGCUAAUACCGCAUACGACCUACGGGUGAAAGCAGGGGAUCUUCGGACCUUGCGCGAUUGAAUGAGCCGAUGUCGGAUUAGUUAGUUGGCGGGGUAAAGGCCCACCAAGGCGACGAUCCGUAGCUGGUCUGAGAGGAUGAUCAGCCACACUGGAACUGAGACACGGUCCAGAGUCCUACGGGAGGCAGCAGUGGGGAAUAUUGGACAAUGGGCGCAAGCCUGAUCCAGCCAUACCGCGUGGGUGAAGAAGGCCUUCGGGUUGUAGAGCCCUUUUGUUGGGAAAGAAAAGCAGCAGGUUAAUACCCCGCUGUUCUGACGGUACCCAAAGAAUAAGCACCGGCUAACUUCGUG